UUAUUUUUUUCUAAAAUGGUUAACGAGCAAUCAAGGAAUUUUCAUAAUAAGGAGGGAAAGUGUGAUGUUUUUUUGUAGUUUUCUUAAGUUGUUGAGGGGGAGAAGGCCCCCAUUAGAUAGCUUACACUAUAGCUGGUCUGUUUCGUUAGGGGGGUCCAUGGGCGCAAAGGGGGGAUUAUAUACAUCCAUUUAGACUUUGUGGAUCAUUUUUAGUGGAGGUAAUUCUCUCUCUCUCUCUCUCUCUCUCUCUCUCUCUCUCUCUCUCUCUCUCUCUCUCUCUCUCUCUCUCUCUCUCUCUCUCUCUCUCUCCAUUAUCUAUCUUGGCCGCUUCCAUUAAAAUCUUUCUUAUAUUUUCUCCCUCUCAGCAACAGCUUUCUCCCUCUCUGUUCCGUCCUUCUUGGCUCGGGGGCCUCUUAAACAAGGCGUCACAGUGCAGGGAGGCGUUAACAUGAGCCCAAUCAGAGUGGGAUGGACGCAGGAGAGGUUUGAAUUUAAUCUGGGUUUUGAUGACACAAUAUUAACUAUAUCCUGGGAUUGGUAUUAUAAGACACUUUUGCUUCUCAUGUCAACUAUGUUCUGUAUUUCUGAAGGUCAAAGAGGGGGGCAAUCGGGUUCUAAUGAGUGUUUCUUCAUGUUCAUGGUACAGAGGAAGGGUCAAACUACCACCUGGUCAUAAAACUAUACUCCUGGAAAUGUCAAAGACUCCUAGGAAAGCCUUGCCAAAUAUGUGUUUCUUCAUGUUCAGGGUACAGAGGAAGGGUCAAACUACCACCUGGUCAUAAAACUAUACUCCUGGAAAUGUCAAAGACUCCUAGGAAAGCCUUGCCAAAUAUGUGUUUCUUUAGGUUCAGGGUACAGAGGAAGGGUCAAACUACCACCUGGUCAUAAAACUAUACUCCUGGAAAUGUCAAAGACUCCUAGGAAAGCCUUGCCAAAUAUGUGUUUCUUUAGGUUCAGGGUACAGAGGAAGGGUCAAACUACCACCUGGUCAUAAAACUAUACUCCUGGAAAUGUCAGACUCCUAGGGCCGGUCUUACAGUCCUUUCAGGAGCGGCAAAACGAAAACGCGCACCAGGUUUGUUGGCUGGCGUACGAGAGCCAGGCGCCCGUCUUACACUCAAAGAUUUACGCUCCCCAACGAGACCCGCACCGAACCUAAAUCGUCGGCAGUGUUGGUAUAACUGGUCGGGCGAGGUUGGCGAGCGUGAGCGUGAAAACGUAAACAAAGUCACGUGAUUUCUCGGCGCGUACCAUGAACUGUACGGCGACCACUGU